UACGGAGGGUGCAAGCGUUAUCCGGAAUCAUUGGGUUUAAAGGGUCCGUAGGCGGAUAAUUAAGUCAGAGGUGAAAUCCCACAGCUUAACUGUGGAACUGCCUUUGAUACUGGUUAUCUUGAGUUAAAUUGAGGUAGAUAGAAUGUGUAGUGUAGCGGUGAAAUGCUUAGAUAUUACACAGAAUACCGAUUGCGAAGGCAGUCUACUAAAUGUACACUGACGCUGAGGGACGAAAGCGUGGGGAGCGAACAGG
rnacentral:misc_RNA from 1 species